AGUGAGCCAUGGCAUGGCUGUCCAUGCAAUGAUACAAAUCAAGGCCGGCCGGGCAUAGCCUCAGACCAUGGCGCUUGAUCAGAGUGCUGUGCUGCAAAUAAUGGGCAGAGAUAGGGCCAAACCACCAGCUGAAGAGCAUGGACUGCAGCUUGUUGUAUUUAUCCAUAUAGCCUCUGGGGAGUUGGAAAGAAGCGCAGUCAGUUUAUCAUCGUUCCGAGUGUAAUCGUGUGGAACGAAGACGGAAGGAUCGGAUCUGAAAUCUCAAUUGACCAACUCGGAUCCACUAAACUCAUGUUGAGUUCAGUCUUGUACUCCUGUAGAUGGAGGUUACAGACUUGGUACUGAACGAGUUCGAUGAGAGUGUCUUAUCUGCUCUUCACUUUGUUCUUCCUUUAGACGGCACGGAAUAUUCUGAAGGGGAAAAGACGUCUAGAAGAUAUAGAGUGGAGUAACAUAUUCAUUCGAAGUAUACAUACACGCACGCACAACAUAG
rnacentral:lncRNA from 1 species